rnacentral:rRNA from 1 species
CCUACGGGCGGCAGCAGUGGGGAAUAUUGCACAAUGGGCGCAAGCCUGAUGCAGCCGUGCCGCGUGUGUGAAGAAGGCCUUCGGGUUGUAAAGCACUUUCAGCGGGGAGGAAGGCGUUAAGGUUAAUAACCUUGUCGAUUGACGUUACCCGCAGAAGAAGCACCGGCUAACUCCGUGCCAGCAGCCGCGGUAAUACGGAGGGUGCAAGCGUUAAUCGGAAUUGCUGGGCGUAAAGCGCACGCAGGCGGUCUGUCAUGUCGGAUGUGAAAUCCCCGGGCUCAACCUGGGAACUGCAUUCGAAACUGGCAGGCUAGAGUCUUGUAGAGGGGGGUAGAAUUCCAGGUGUAGCGGUGAAAUGCGUAGAGAUCUGGAGGAAUACCGGUGGCGAAGGCGGCCCCCUGGACAAAGACUGACGCUCAGGUGCGAAAGCGUGGGGAGCAAACAGGAUUAGAUACCCGUGUAGUC